ACCCGCUGAACUUAAGCAUAUCAAUAAGCGGAGGAAAAGAAACCAACAGGGAUUGCCCUAGUAACGGCGAGUGAAGCGGCAACAGCUCAAAUUUGAAAUCUGGCGUCUUUGGCGUCCGAGUUGUAAUUUGCAGAGGGCGCUUUGGCAUUGGCAGCGGUCCAAGUUCCUUGGAACAGGACGUCACAGAGGGUGAGAAUCCCGUACGUGGUCGCUAGCCUUUACCGUGUAAAGCCCCUUCGACGAGUCGAGUUGUUUGGGAAUGCAGCUCUAAAUGGGAGGUAAAUUUCUUCUAAAGCUAAAUACUGGCCAGAGACCGAUAGCGCACAAGUAGAGUGAUCGAAAGAUGAAAAGCACUUUGGAAAGAGAGUUAAAAAGCACGUGAAAUUGUUGAAAGGGAAGCGCUUGCAGCCAGACUUGCCUGUAGUUGCUCAUCCGGGUUUUUACCCGGUGCACUCUUCUAUAGGCAGGCCAGCAUCGGUUUGGGCGGUUGGAUAAAGGUCUCUGUCAUGUACCUCUCUUCGGGGAGAACUUAUAGGGGAGACGACAUGCAACCAGCCCGGACUGAGGUCCGCGCAUCUGCUAGGAUGCUGGCGUAAUGGCUGU
rnacentral:rRNA from 1 species